AUUGAACGCUGGCGGCAUGCCUUACACAUGCAAGUCGAACGGCAGCACGGGUGCUUGCACCUGGUGGCGAGUGGCGAACGGGUGAGUAAUACAUCGGAACGUACCUUAUCGUGGGGGAUAACGCAGCGAAAGUUGCGCUAAUACCGCAUACGCCCUGAGGGGGAAAGCGGGGGACCGUAAGGCCUCGCGCGAUUAGAGCGGCCGAUGUCUGAUUAGCUUGUUGGUGAGGUAAAAGCUCACCAAGGCGAUGAUCAGUAGCUGGUCUGAGAGGACGAUCAGCCACACUGGGACUGAGACACGGGCCAGACUCCUACGGGAGGCAGCAGUGGGGAAUUUGGACAAUGGGGGCAACCCUGAUCCAGCAAUGCCGCGUGAGUGAAGAAGGCCUUCGGGUUGUAAAGCUCUUUUGUCAGGGAAGAAACACCGGCUCUAACACAGUCCGGGAAUGACGGUACCUGAAGAAUAAGCACCGGCUAACUACGUGCCAGCCGCCGCCGUAA
rnacentral:rRNA from 1 species